UACGGAGGAUGCAAGCGUUAUCCGGAAUGAUUGGGCGUAAAGCGUCCGCAGGUGGCUUUGUAAGUCUGCUGUUAAAGAGUGAGGCUCAACCUCAUAAGAGCAGUGGAAACUACAAGGCUAGAGUACGUUCGGGGCAGAGGGAAUUCCUGGUGUAGCGGUGAAAUGCGUAGAGAUCAGGAAGAACACCGGUGGCGAAAGCGCUCUGCUAGGCCGUAACUGACACUGAGACGCGAAAGCCAGGGGAGCGAACGGG
rnacentral:rRNA from 1 species